UACGUAGGGGGCAAGCGUUGUCCGGAUUUAUUGGGCGUAAAGAGCGUGUAGGCGGUUAGGUAGGUCCGUUGUGAAAACUCGAGGCUCAACCUCGAGACGCCGAUGGAAACCAUCUGACUAGAGUCCGGAAGAGGAGAGUGGAAUUCCUGGUGUAGCGGUGAAAUGCGCAGAUAUCAGGAGGAACACCGGUGGCGAAGGCGGCAUCCUGGACCAACACUGACACUGAGGAGCGAAAGCCGGGGGAGCAAACGGG
rnacentral:rRNA from 1 species